rnacentral:rRNA from 1 species
AUGGAGUCAUUUGCGAACCCGUCGCGUCCUCCGCUGUUCUCUGGGAGUGAGUGGCCGUUUUGGAAGUCUCGGAUGAAAACAUUUCUUGAAGCUCAAAGCUAUGUAAUAUGGCAAAUUGUUGUGCGAGAUUUUGCAAUACCUGCUCGUGUUGGUCCUGAGAAUAUAGUUGAUGUUGAAAAUAAUUCCAAAGCUAUUAACAUUCUCUUGUCAGGUUUGGAUAGGAGAGAGCAUGAGCGUGUUGCACACCUAGACACAGCCCACAAAAUUUGGUCCACUCUCAUCACUUACCACGAGGGCACUAGUGAGAUUAAGACAGCUCGUCAGGACAUUUACAAAGCCGAGUACAACAAAUUUGAGCAGUUACCUGGUGAGUCUCUAGAGGACAUGUUUGGUAGGUCUGAUUGUCCAAAUUUCAAAGAUUAUGGUGAAAAUAGUGGUGGCAAGAACAACUAUAGCAAGAAGAAGUCGUUCUCUCGUCAUGAAACCAAGUUCCGGCCAAAGGCUGAGAAGCAUCUUCAAAAGAUGGUUGCUGCAAUCGCUUUGGGUCUACAAUCUGCAGUAGAUUUAAGCGACAUCAACUCUGACCAGAGUGGUGAGGAUGAUCCUCCUUCUCCCAAAGGGAAGGAUACAAAUAAGAAGGCGGCUGAUCGGCUCACCGGCAUGUGUUUUAUGGCUCAUGAGGCUGAUGAGGAGAACGACAACACGGAUGAGGAUGCUACUGCUAGUGUGCCUUCUCAUGAUAUUGAUGAUUGUGCUGGAUGUGAUGUGUUGCGUGCUGAAUUAGAACUUGCUAGGAAUACUCAUGCUAGUAUGUCACAACUACUUGAAUCUGCUAGAAAUGAACUUGCUGAUACACUUUUUGAUGCAGAGAAUCCUCCCUCUUGUUUGAAGUGCAAAUACUUUGAUGAUAGAGUUAAAAAGUUGAAUCAAAUGAUCCUAGAUGUGCGUGCUCCUAGAAAUUGUGUAAAUUGUCCUAAACUCGAAGAAGAAGUUGAGGAACUAGGAGCUCAUCUCAGUGAAAUCUAUAAGAAAUAUGAUCUUGUUAAAGCUUCAAAUUCAAAGAAACCUACUGAUUCUUGUGAUGCUUCUUCUAGUUCUGUUACUACUUGUACUUUCUGUACCAUACUUGAGAAUGAUCUUGUUGCUAUGCAUGAAGCAUUUCGGGUCAGGUUUGGCAAGGGUGUAGCAAAUCCUGUGAGUGUAGAUUGUGUCUCUUGUGAGGGAUUAAAACUUGAGAUUCAGGCCUACAAGGAUAGAUAUGGGAGAGCUGUGAGGGUGUCCUCCUUAAAAGAGUGUUUAUCGUGUGCUUCCUAUGCAAAAGAAGUAGCUUACCUCAAGACGAUCCUAGAAAAGCUCUCAAGUGGUGAGAAAAGAUUAAACAUGAUUUUAGACAAGUCAAAGGUGAGUAAAGGUCUAGGUCUUGGUUUUGACUUCAUGGAAGAUUCUAGGAACAACCCUCCAGAACCCAUAGGCAUUCGAAGUGAUGGAGCUAUCUUGGUCCGUGAGAAUGAGAGAGCGACAUUUUUUCAGUCUGGGGGACUUUUGCCCACGAGUCCAAAUGACAAGGAGAUGAAUGUAGAUCUCGUGUUCGUGCAGUUAGGGGCAUGCAACGAUAGGCUCAUGCGCUGCAUGUUUCUAACACACAUGGUCAGAGUUGGUUUUGAGGGUUUGGCAAACAAGUGGCUUAUUGACUCUGGGUGUUCACGCCACAUGACUGGUGAUACUAAAUUGUUCGCCUCCCUCUGCAAAGCGUCUGGUGAUGAAAAGAUCACUUUUGGGAAUGAUGCACAGGGUUGCAUUGUGGCCAAAGGAACAGUGCGAGUCAACGAGAACUGUCUUCUCAAGGAUGUAGCCCUUGGUUUUGAGGUUCGUUUCAAGAAAUCUGCUUCUCGUGUUCUUGACUCUACUGGUGAUCUUGUCUUUGGUAUUUCUCGGGUUGAUAAUGAGGAUGGUGUGGGACAAGCCCCCAUAUCUCUUGCACCUGCCGCAGAACCUGCUACCACUUCUGUUCCAGUGGAAGAUGGCCCUGUACCUAGUACUUCAUCUACAACAUCCGUACCCUCAACAUUGAUGACUCCUGAUCCUACCUCCACUUCAGCUGAGGUAGAGGCUACCACGACUACUUCCUCACCUGCUUCUGACGUCCUUCAGGGAUCUCUACAUCUUCAUCAUGCUCACCCACCAGAUCUGAUCAUCGGCAACAUCUCUGAGCGUACAUUGUGCUCCAGGUCCACUCAUUUCUCAGACUUUGCACAUACUGCAUUUGUUGCAUCUUUUGAGCCCCGAGAUAAUCACUCAAGAUACCUGCUCGUGCAGGAGGUGGUGCCUGCUCGUGCAGGAGGUGGCACUUUGCUUGUGAGAUGGUCAGCACAGCGAGAAGGUUCCAUUUUUGAUCGGAGUUGGGUUGGCAAUAUAAACAUCAAGGUGGAGAUUGUUCCAAGGUAUAAUCGUGGUUUUCAGUUGUUGGUAGUCUUGCAGCUCUAUGCGCUACAGCUGCCGACCCUCCUCCUAUCCCCGCGCGCCACGUGGCCCAGACGGCUUCCUCUAUCCACCCCAGCACCGCCGCGGCCCUACGGGACCACGGCCGGCCCGCCUGGCCUGGGUCACCUUGCCUCCGAUUUUGCACCUUGCCCCGCUGCCACUCACCGGAGCUCCGCCCACGCCACCGCCUCGCCCAGCCCCUCCUCAGCCUCCACCUUGCUGCCGCCGCACAUCCCGCGCCCCGGGGCCUCCCCUGCAGGGCGCCUCCUCGCCGCCGUGAAGGCCCGUUGGCCAGCCACUUCGGCCACCUCCCUCGCUUUUCCCGUCGACCUCACCACCUUCUCCUACUCCGGUGCCGCCGCCGGUGGCCACCACCCGGAUCCGCCCUGCGCCCCAUUCCCGGUCUCCUCCAUCGCUGAUCGCCACCAUCUCACCGUCGCCCUACCACGCCCGCUGCCGUUGAUGUCCUCGGUGGUGGUCAGCCUCAAACUCGAUUUUCUAUGCAAUCAAUCCGCUGGCGCGUCUACAUCAAGUGAUCAACUUGCCAAGUCAAAGAGACAGUCAAUUUCUGCUAUUGUCAUGCAUUGCUUCACUAGUUCAAGUCCCGGGGCAUCAACUCAUAGCUGCUCCCUUUGGGUAAAGGCCAAAGCCAAUUGCAUCUAUAGAAGAAUCUUCAGAACUCACAUGUUCCUCUCGGAGUAUUGCAGUACUAUACUUGAUGGACUGGUUGAGGAUCUUUGUCGAGUGCAGGCCGCUGCUGCGAGCAGCCACUUCCGUCUCACGGGUGCUAAGGCGCACCACCUCCGCUGCGGCGACCCGGUGGCCUUCACCACAACAGGCCUAGUUUCACCUCGCCUUGAGAGCCACACAUGCCAGGACGACUUGCCCUCAUCUCUAAGUCACCGUGAGAAUCGCUGA